UUCUGGUUCUUGGAAGGUUCCAACAGA
rnacentral:piRNA from 1 species